rnacentral:rRNA from 1 species
GGCUCUGGGUCACCUCCCACCCGUGUCUAUCGUACCUUGUUGCUUCGGCGGGCCCGCCGUUUCGACGGCCGCCGGGGAGGCCUCGCGCCCCCGGGCCCGCGCCCGCCGAAGACCCCAACAUGAACGCUGUUCUGAAAGUAUGCAGUCUGAGUUGAUUAUCAUAAUCAGUUAAAACUUUCAACAACGGAUCUCUUGGUUCCGGCAUCGAUGAAGAACGCAGCGAAAUGCGAUAAGUAAUGUGAAUUGCAGAAUUCAGUGAAUCAUCGAGUCUUUGAACGCACAUUGCGCCCCCUGGUAUUCCGGGGGGCAUGCCUGUCCGAGCGUCAUUGCUGCCCUCAAGCACGGCUUGUGUGUUGGGCCCCGUCCCCUCCCCCGGGGACGGGCCCGAAAGGCAGCGGCGGCACCGCGUCCGAUCCUCGAGCGUAUGGGGCUUUGUCACCCGCUCUGUAGGCCCGGCCGGCGCCAGCCGACACCCAACUUUUAUUUCUAAGGUUGACCUCGGAUCAGGUAGGGAUACCCGCUGAACUUAAGCAUAU